AGUCGUACGGGAGUUUUUAACUCAAGUGGCGGACGGGUGAGUAACACGUAAGAAUUUGCCUUUAGGAGGGGGACAACAACUAGAAAUGGUUGCUAAUACCCCAUAUGCUUUCGAGUGAAAUGGAGUUUUCCGCCUGAAGAGAAGCUUGCGGCUGAUUAGCUUGUUGGUGAGGUAAUGGCUUACCAAGGCGACGAUCAGUAUCUGGUUUGAGUGGACGAUCAGACACACUGGAACUGAGACACGGUCCAGACUCCUACGGGAGGCAGCAGUGGGGAAUUUUCCGCAAUGGGCGAGAGCCUGACGGAGCAAUACCGCGUGAGGGAUGACGGCCUAUGGGUUGUAAACCUCUUUUUUCAGGGAGGAAUCAAUGACGUGUACCUGAAGAAUAAGCAUCGGCUAACUCCGUGCCGGCAGCCGCGGUAAGACGGAGGAUGCAAGUGUUAUCCGGAAUCACUGGGCGUAAAGCGUCUGUAGGUGGUUUAAUAAGUCAACUGUUAAAUCUUGAGGCUCAACUUCAAAAUCGCAGUCGAAACUAUUAGACUAGAGUAUAGUAGGGGUAAAGGGAAUUUCCAGUGGAGCGGUGAAAUGCGUAGAGAUUGGAAAGAACACCGAUGGCGAAGCACUUUACUGGGCUAUUACUAACACUCAGAGACGAAAGCUAGGGUAGCAAAGGGGA
rnacentral:rRNA from 1 species